rnacentral:rRNA from 2 species
CCGGCGAUGUCCGAAUGGGGAAACCCAGUGCAAUUCGUUGCACUAUCGUUAACUGAAUACAUAGGUUAACGAGGCGAACCGGGGGAACUGAAACAUCUAAGUACCCCGAGGAAAAGAAAUCAACCGAGAUUCCCCCAGUAGCGGCGAGCGAACGGGGAGCAGCCCAGAGUCUGAAUCAGCUUGUGUGUUAGUGGAACGGUCUGGAAAGUCCGACGGUACAGGGUGAUAGUCCCGUACACCAAAAUGCACAGGCUGUGAACUCGAAGAGUAGGGCGGGACACGUGGUAUCCUGUCUGAAUAUGGGGGGACCAUCCUCCAAGGCUAAAUACUCCUGACUGACCGAUAGUGAACCAGUACCGUGAGGGAAAGGCGAAAAGAACCCCGGCGAGGGGAGUGAAAAAGAACCUGAAACCGUGUACGUACAAGCAGUGGGAGCACCUUCGGGUGUGACUGCGUACCUUUUGUAUAAUGGGUCAGCGACUUAUAUUCUGUAGCAAGGUUAACCGUAUAGGGGAGCCGCAGGGAAACCGAGUCUUAACUGGGCGUUAAGUUGCAGGGUAUAGACCCGAAACCCGGUGAUCUAGCCAUGGGCAGGUUGAAGGUUGGGUAACACUAACUGGAGGACCGAACCGACUAAUGUUGAAAAAUUAGCGGAUGACUUGUGGCUGGGGGUGAAAGGCCAAUCAAACCGGGAGAUAGCUGGUUCUCCCCGAAAGCUAUUUAGGUAGCGCCUCGUGAAUUCAUCUUCGGGGGUAGAGCACUGUUUCGGCUAGGGGGUCAUCCCGACUUACCAACCCGAUGCAAACUACGAAUACCGAAGAAUGUUAUCACGGGAGACACACGGCGGGUGCUAACGUCCGUCGUGAAGAGGGAAACAACCCAGACCGCCAGCUAAGGUCCCAAAGUCAUGGUUAAGUGGGAAACGAUGUGGGAAGGCACAGACAGCCAGGAUGUUGGCUUAGAAGCAGCCAUCAUUUAAAGAAAGCGUAAUAGCUCACUGGUCGAGUCGGCCUGCGCGGAAGAUGUAACGGGGCUAAACCAUGCACCGAAGCUGCGGCAGCGACACUAUGUGUUGUUGGGUAGGGGAGCGUUCUGUAAGCCUGCGAAGGUGACCUGUGAGGGUUGCUGGAGGUAUCAGAAGUGCGAAUGCUGACAUAAGUAACGAUAAAGCGGGUGAAAAGCCCGCUCGCCGGAAGACCAAGGGUUCCUGUCCAACGUUAAUCGGGGCAGGGUGAGUCGACCCCUAAGGCGAGGCCGAAAGGCGUAGUCGAUGGGAAACAGGUUAAUAUUCCUGUACUUGGUGUUACUGCGAAGGGGGGACGGAGAAGGCUAUGUUAGCCGGGCGACGGUUGUCCCGGUUUAAGCAUGUAGGCUGGUUAUCCAGGCAAAUCCGGAUAAUCAAGGCUGAGGUGUGAUGACGAGGCACUACGGUGCUGAAGUAACAAAUGCCCUGCUUCCAGGAAAAGCCUCUAAGCAUCAGGUAACAUCAAAUCGUACCCCAAACCGACACAGGUGGUCAGGUAGAGAAUACCAAGGCGCUUGAGAGAACUCGGGUGAAGGAACUAGGCAAAAUGGUGCCGUAACUUCGGGAGAAGGCACGCUGGUGUGUAGGUGAAGUCCCUGCGGAUGGAGCUGAGACCAGUCGAAGAUACCAGCUGGCUGCAACUGUUUAUUAAAAACACAGCACUGUGCAAACACGAAAGUGGACGUAUACGGUGUGACGCCUGCCCGGUGCCGGAAGGUUAAUUGAUGGGGUUAUCCGUAAGGAGAAGCUCUUGAUCGAAGCCCCGGUAAACGGCGGCCGUAACUAUAACGGUCCUAAGGUAGCGAAAUUCCUUGUCGGGUAAGUUCCGACCUGCACGAAUGGCGUAAUGAUGGCCAGGCUGUCUCCACCCGAGACUCAGUGAAAUUGAACUCGCUGUGAAGAUGCAGUGUACCCGCGGCAAGACGGAAAGACCCCGUGAACCUUUACUAUAGCUUGACACUGAACAUUGAGCCUUGAUGUGUAGGAUAGGUGGGAGGCUUUGAAGCGUGGACGCCAGUCUGCGUGGAGCC